rnacentral:lncRNA from 14 species
CUUCUUUACGAAGACCUUAUGCAAGUUAAUUUUAUGCAUUCACAUUUUUGCAAGCAACAGGAUGUGUGUAUCCAGCUGGUGUCUCUAUGGUGUCUCAUCUCUAUGGUAUCUCUAUGGUGUCUCUAUAGUAUCUCUAUGUUGUCUCUAUGAUGUCUCUAUGGUGUUUCUACAGUGUCUCUAUGAUGUCUCUAUGGUAUUUCUAUGGUUUCUCUAUGGUGACUCUAUGGUGUCUCUGUCUAUGGUAUCUCUAUGGUGUCUCUAUGGUAUCUCUAUGAUGUGUCUAUGGUGUCUCUAUGGUGUCUGUUUCUAUGGUAUCUCUAUGGUGUCUCUAUGGUGUCUGUAUGGUGUCUGUAUGGUGUCUCUGUCUCUAUGGUAUCUCUACGGUAUCUCUAUGGUAUCUCUAUGGNNNNNNNNNNNNNNNNNNNNAAGGUGUCUCUAUGGUGUCUUUGUCUCUAUGGUGUUUCUAUGGUGUCUCUAUGGUGUUUCUAUGGUGUCUCUGUCUAUAUGGGAUCUCUAUGGUGUAUCUGUCUUUAUGCUAUUUCUAUGGUGUCUCUAUGGUAUCUCUAUGGUAUCUCUAUGGUGUCUCUAGGGUGUCUGUGGUGUCUCUAUAGUAUAUCUAUGGUGUGUCUCUGGUGUUUCUGUGGUGUUUCUAUGUUCUCUCUAUGGUGUAUCUAUUGUGUCUCUGUCUCUAUGGUAUCUCUAUGGUGUCUCUAUGGUGUCUCUAAAGUGUCUCUAUGGUGUCUCUAUGAUGUGUCUAUGGUGUCUCUAUGCUAUCUCUAUGGUGUCUCUAUGGUGUUUCUAAUGUGUCUCUGUCUCUAUCGUACCUCUAUGGUGUCACUAUGGUAUACCUAUGUUGUCUCUAUGGUAUCUCUAUGUUGUCUCUAUGGUGUCUCUAUGUUGUGUCUAUGGUAUCUCUAUGGUGUCUCCAUGGUAUCUCUAUGGUGUCUCUAUGAUGUCUCUAUAGUGUUUCUAUGGUGUCUCUAUAUUUCUAUGUCUGUGUGACCACAGAAGAGACUUGGCUGUUGAGU